UAGCAAACAAACCCUGGUUUCCGUGCCCAACGUCUGACCGUCCGUCUUAUUUGAAAAAAUUAUAAAAAAAAUUAAAAAGACAAGUCACGCAUAAAAUAUUAAUCAUGUUUUAUCAUUUAACAACAAUGAAAAUAGAAAUUAUAAAAAAAAUUCAUAUGAGACGGACAGUCAAAAUUGGAAACGAAAAUUCAGGGUUUGCCUUUUU
rfam:Oryza sativa Japonica Group DNA, chromosome 3, cultivar: Nipponbare, complete sequence.